AUUGAACGCUGGCGGCAUGCUUUACACAUGCAAGUCGAACGGUAACAGGCCGCAAGGUGCUGACGAGUGGCGAACGGGUGAGUAAUGCAUCGGAACGUGCCCAGUCGUGGGGGAUAACGCAGCGAAAGCUGUGCUAAUAACGCAUACGAUCUAUGGAUGAAAGCGGGGGACCGUAAGGCCUCGCGCGAUUGGAGCGGCCGAUGUCAGAUUAGGUAGUUGGUGGGGUAAAGGCUCACCAAGCCAACGAUCUGUAGCUGGUCUGAGAGGACGACCAGCCACACUGGGACUGAGACACGGCCCAGACUCCUACGGGAGGCAGCAGUGGGGAAUUUUGGACAAUGGGCGCAAGCCUGAUCCAGCAAUGCCGCGUGCAGGAAGAAGGCCUUCGGGUUGUAAACUGCUUUUGUACGGAACGAAAAGGUUUGGGUUAAUACCCUGGGCCGAUGACGGUACCGUAAGAAUAAGCACCGGCUAACUACGUGCCAGCCGCCGCGGUAACAC
rnacentral:rRNA from 1 species